AAGAUGUGCCUUCUAGAACUGCUCUUCUUCAUUAUUUGAGAAAAAGAUGUGGUGAUCCCACCCAACUAGGGGCGUGGAAGUAUGUGUGUUGGGAGUACAAUGCUCUCAUUUGCUGUGACUAUAUGUGUAAGCCAAGAGCUGUGUUUGUGUGGGUUUGAAUAACCAUUUUGUAUAACCAGGUUCAAGCCUUGGAAACUUGUAAACCCUUGGGGGUAUUUAUUUGUUUAUUACUUGUUGUUGGAUCAAUGUAUUGUUUCAUAAAGGACUAUUGUAUCAUGUAAUGUAAGUUUGGAGAUUUAUAUUUGGUUUUCCUUGAAAGAGCCA